GUGAUCAUUGUGGAGGUGUUAUACCCGUUCCCAUCCCGAACACGGAAGUCAAGCCCUCUUACGCCGAUGAUACUGCCGCGCAAGCGGCGGGAAAGUAGGUAGUCGCCAAGC
rnacentral:rRNA from 1 species